UCACUAAAUGUUGAUUUUCUACUUCCUUCUUGAGAUUGCCUAAACCGCUGGUCAAGUACUCGCGCUUGAACUCGAACAAGAGCUUGCAUACAUCUUAGAGUCAUCUUCGCUUGUUUGCGAACAUUGUGACCUCUCACUAAAGCUUGCAAUUUCACUAGACCUUUUAGUGCUUUUAGAGCCCUUCUUGCCUUACAAUCAUAACAUAAGCAAUUCAUUCAAUCAGCCAAGUUUCUCAAGUUUACAUGUCUUGGCAAAGAGAUAAUUUCCUAUAUUGGAUAAUGUAAGAGAAACCAUUCUUCUUUUGCUCAUUCUGUAAUUAAGACACUCAAAUGCCAUUUUUAAAUGAAGAAUUAACCAAAAUAGUCGCUCACCUAGUUUCUUAAAUAAGAGCUUGCAUACAUCUAAGAGUCAUCUUCGCUUGUUUCCGAACAUUGUGACCUCUCACUAAAGCUUGCAAUUUCACUAGACCUUUUAGUGCUUUUAGAGCCCUUCUUGCCUUACAAUCAC
rnacentral:lncRNA from 1 species